CGAGGCAACUCUGGAGAACUGCGUGCGUAAUUGUGCGCGUACCGAAGGGGAACAGGCGCGACCCGCCGAAAACUCUCAGGUUUCAGGACAGAGCGGAGGGG
rnacentral:ncRNA from 2 species